rnacentral:rRNA from 1 species
GAUGAACGCUAGCGGCAGGCUUAAUACAUGCAAGUCGAGGGGCAGCACGGGUAGCAAUACUGGGUGGCGACCGGCAAACGGGUGCGGAACACGUACACAACCUUCCUUUUGGUGGGGGAUAGCCUUUGGAAACGGAGAUUAAUACCCCAUAAUACAGGGGGCCCGCAUGGGUCUAUUGUUAAAGAUUUAUUGCCAGAAGAUGGGUGUGCGUCUGAUUAGGUAGUUGGCGGGGUAAAGGCCCACCAAGCCGGCGAUCAGUAACUGGUGUGAGAGCACGACCAGUACCGCGGGCACUGAGACACUGGCCCGACUCCUACGGGAGGCACAAGUAAAGAAUAUUGGUCAAUGGGCGGAAGCUUGAACCAGCCAUGCCGCGUGGAGGAUGAAGGUCCUCUGGAUUGUAAACUGCUUUUAUCAGGGGCGAAAAAAGGCCAUUCUUGGUCGUCUGACGGUACCUGAUGAAUAAGCACCGGCUAACUCCGUGCCAGCCGCCGCCGUAAAAC